rnacentral:rRNA from 1 species
UACGAAGGGGGCUAGCGUUGUUCGGAAUUACUGGGCGUAAAGCGCACGUAGGCGGAUAUUUAAGUCGGGGGCGAAAUCCCGGGGCUCAACCCCGGAACUGCCUUCGAUACUGGGUAUCUUGAGUUCGGAAGAGGUGAGUGGAAUUGCGAGUGUAGAGGUGAAAUUCGUAGAUAUUCGCAGGAACACCAGUGGCGAAGGCGGCUCACUGGUCCGAUACUGACGCUGAGGUGCGAAAGCGUGGGGAGCAAACAGG